ensembl:lncRNA
GAAACAUCAACAACAACAGAGACUUUCACAAUCACAAUGACAGCUCCUGAAAAAUCAACCACUACUGCAGUAGAAACAUCUACAACAACAGAGACUUCCACAGUCACAAUGACUGCACCAGAAACAUCUACCACAACAGAGACCUCCACAAUCACAUCAACUGCUCCUGAAACAUCCACCUCUAGUGCACCAGAAACAUCUACAACAACAGAGACUUCCACAGUCACAAUGACUGCACCAGAAACAUCCACUACUAGUGCAGCAGUAACAUCUAUAACAACAGAGACCUCCACAAUCACAACGACUCCACCGGAAACAUCUACCACUAAUGCGGCAGAAACAUCUACAACCACUGAGACAUCCACAAUCACAACGACUGAACCGGAAACAUCCACCACCAGUGCAGCAGAAACAUCUACUACGACAGAGACCUCCACAAUCACAACGACUGCUCCUGAACCAUCCACCACUAGUGCAGUAGAAACAUCUACAACAACGGAGACUUCCACAAUCACAACGACUGCUCCUGAAACAUCCACCACUAGUGCAGUAGAAACAUCUACAACCACUGAGACUUCCACAAUCACAACAACUGCACCGGAAACAACCACCACUAGUGCAGCAGAAACAUCUACAACAACAGAGACAUCCACAAUCACAACAACGGCUCCUGAAACAUCCACCACUAGUGCAGCAGAAACAUCUACAUCAACUGAGAUUUCCACAAUUACAACGACUCCUACUGAAACAUCCACCACUAGUCCAACAGAAACAUCUACAACAACAGAGACUUCCACAAUCACAACGACUGAACCGGAAAUAUCCACUACUCAUGCAGCAAAAACGUCUACAACAACAGAGACAUCCACAGUCACAACAACUGCCCCGGAAACAUCUUUCACCAAUUCAGCAGAAACAUCUACAACGACAGAGACAUCCACAGUCACAACGACUACUCCUGAAACAUCCACCACAAGUGCAGCAGAAACAUCUUCAACAACUGAGACUUCCACAAUCACAACAACUGCACCGGAAACAUCCACAACUAGUGCAGCAGAAACAUCUACAUCAACUGAGACUUCCACAAUCACAACAACUCCUACUGAAACAUC